rnacentral:tRNA from 10 species
GGCCCGUUGGUCAAGUGGUUAAGACACCGCCCUUUCACGGCGGUAACACGAGUUCGAAUCUCGUACGGGUCACCA